AUACGUAGGGGGCAAGCGUUAUCCGGAUUUACUGGGUGUAAAGGGAGCGUAGACGGUGAUGUAAGUCAGAUGUGAAAGCCCGGGGCUCAACCCCGGGACUGCAUUUGAAACUAUGUUGCUAGAGUGCAGGAGAGGUAAGUGGAAUUCCUAGUGUAGCGGUGAAAUGCGUAGAUAUUAGGAGGAACACCAGUGGCGAAGGCGACUUUCUGGACUGUAACUGACGCUGAGGCUCGAAAGUAUGGGUAGC
rnacentral:rRNA from 1 species